rnacentral:rRNA from 1 species
AUGUUUGACGGAGUUGAGCGGAUGCUUCGGGAAGUCAGGCAUGUGCCAGGGCUAAGGAGGAAUCUAAUUUCGCUUGGUGUUCUUCAUGAUGGUGGUAUGGUAUUCCGUUGUGAUCGGGAUAAGAAGACCAUGAGAAUCAUGGAAGAUGAGGUGACCGUGAUGAUUGGAGGGAGGACGGCUUCGCAUCUUUACAAGUUGCAAGGGAGCACUAUUGCAGGUGGAGUCACAUAG